UUAUGGAAGACAGCUAAGGAAGAUCUGCUUACCUUCUGAGAAGAGAUGGCAUCAUAGCACAAGGUGAUAUGGCUGUGAAUGGAGUCUGGAAAAGAGACAUUGCACAUGCUCCAUAAUCUGUCUAGUCCAUAUCAUUUUCAUUCCAUGCUUGAGGAAUGAAGAAGGACUUGUCAUAGUGGGCACUCCUUUCCAAGCCUGAGGAAAGCCUAAAGAAGAUACCUUAUGCAUCAUGGGGAGCGAGGAACCAGGUUCCAACAUGUUCAGCUCUGUAAAUAUGCAGUUGUCAAGGCCCUCAAGGCUGCUUCAUUUUACAAGUCUACUUGUUGAGAAAGUAACUGGAUAUAGGAAUUCACGUAACUGAGUGGGAUUCCAGGUGUGCACAUCUGCCUUCCAGUUCUUGCCUUUCCCAGAGCAAUGCUGGCUGGUUGACAUCGGAGAGCAAAUCAAACUGUUUAGGAGGGGCUGUGACUCGCAAUGGGGAAGUUGCUGCAUAGCACCCACUUCCAGCCCUUGUGGACUUUGCAGUAUUGGGCCUUUACAAUUGUGAGUAGUGCAGGACUGAAUGCUAUCCAUCUUACACCUCAGACCAAUAUAACUGUGGGGGAGAAAAUAAAAAAAACUGCCAGAGAAGUGUUUCUUCCUCCUCUCUUUGAAGUGGCAGCUGUUUGGAACUGCUCCCAAACUUUGGAAUGUUAGGAGAAAUCCUCAGGGAGAUGGAUUAGCAUGUAGGGGGCAGGUGAGGUGGUCAGGGGUGAAUGAUAAAAUGCAAUUUGUAUCCUGGCUAGACAAUUUAUCAUAUAGGUAUUGCCACCACUUAAUGUGUGUGAAUUUUGUACAUAUAAAUGGUGUUUACUGACAAGUGUUGUAUUAUUGCUAUUCAUUUAACUGCUCAGCAAAUGCCUGCAGCACUUCACAAAAUAUCCAGUCAUGGUCCCUGCUCUGAAGAGCUCACUAUCUGUAUCUAUCAAAUAAAUUUAAGUAACUUACUAAGCCUCCAUUGUGGCUUUUGGUUGUUUUAAGAUGGCUCUGUUCCUGCCUCACUGACAGGUCUCAGAAGGUGGGCUGGGUGUCAUUCGCAUAUUGCAGCCUGCACUGUUUCAGUGCACUCUCCUGGUGGUCUGCUGUACAGGAUGAGGGACAAGGGAAGUGAGGAGCUCUUUCCCUCUUGGCAUCCUCAGGUGAGAGCCUUUGGGGAAAAGGAACAUCUCCCAUCAUGGACCCCUACGUAGACCCUAUCUGUGAUUGUAGCUAACAAAAAGCAAGAACAUGAUCACCAGAAAACAAAACACAGUAAUAGUUAAUACCCCACCAGACAUACUUCUACCCAAGGUUAUUCUGUGAGCACCUCUGGAGCUCCAAUCCUACUCCCACCAGCUUCAGCGAGAGCAGGCUUAAGUCCUAGGUAUGCAGCUCUUCCCCAGUGGAACCUCUGAUUCUUCAUAUUUGCAUCAGUCCUAGUUUUCUUCAAGAAACCUGUAUGUUAGUGUAGCAUAUUCCAGGUACCAGUGUACCACUCAAAGGGCUUGCCGACACAGGAAGUUAGUGCACAGCAAGCUAGGGUAUGAAUUUACAGUGCACUAGCUACUCCAUACUAACUCUCUGUGUGGACAUUCUUACUGCACACUAGAAGUGUCCUUGGUCGGUUUAGCUUGGUACACUUUAAAAUAUGUUAAGCUAACAUGCACAAAGGCACUUUUAGUGUAUGGAGUGUCCACACAGUAAGUGCAGAGUAGCAAGGGCACUGUAAAUUCACAGCCUGCUGCGCACUAACUUCCCUGUAUAGACAAGCCUUAAGCUCCUGAUCUCAGAAGUGGCCCUCUCAUUUUAGAAGCCCACCCCAAAUUUGAAACACCCUGGUUUAUAAAAGUGCAACCCCAUCACCAGUUUUCCCCCAUCCACUUACAGAAAAAGAGUGAGAAGGCUAGCCAUCAAGGAGAGAAAGGAACAGACACUCUGUUCAUAUAGAGUAUUCCAUUUAGCACUAUGUUCCCAAAGACAAGAGCUGUAGAAAAGGAACUGGCAUAGCCUCUAAAACAAUAGCUUUCUUUUGUUAACCACUGUAGUACCCUCAAGGAAAGACGUGAAAAAAAGGAGGCCUCAACCUGUCCUCUUGCUCCACCUCCACUUUCAGGGAGCCACAGAAAAACAAAGUCUUCUGCAUCAGUGGUUCUCAAACCAGGGCCGCCACUUGUUCAGGGAAAGCCUCUGGCAGGCCGGGCCCGUUUGUUUACCUGCU